rnacentral:rRNA from 1 species
CUACGGGGCGCACCAGGCGCGAAAACUUCACACUGCGCGAAAGCGUGAUGAGGGAAUCCCAAGUGUAUGCACGUAAGUGUAUACUGUUUCUUUGUUUAAAAAGCAGAGAGAGUAAGGGCUGGGUAAGACGGGUGCCAGCCGCCGCGGUAAUACCUGCAGCUCAAGUGGUGACCACUAUUAUUGGGCCUAAAACGUUCGUAGCCUGUCUUUUAAAUGCCUGGGUAAAUCGGACUGCUUAACAGUUCGAAUUCCGGGUAGACUGGAAGACUUGAGACUGGGAGAGGCUAGAGGUACUCCUGGGGUAGAGGUGAAAUUCUGUAAUCCUAGGGGGACCACCAGUGGCGAAGGCGUCUAGCUAGAACAGGUCUGACGGUGAGGGACGAAGCCCUGGGGCGCAAACCGGAUUAGAUACCCCCGUAGUC